rnacentral:rRNA from 1 species
AGUGGCGGACGGGUGAGUAACGCGUGAGAAUCUGCCUUGGGGUCGGGGACAACCACUGGAAACGGUGGCUAAUACCGGAUAAGCCGAUUGGUGAAAGAUUUAUUGCCCGAAGAGGAGCUCGCGUCUGAUUAGCUAGUUGGUGAGGUAAGAGCUCACCAAGGCAGCGAUCAGUAGCUGGUCUGAGAGGACGAUCAGCCACACUGGGACUGAGACACGGCCCAGACUCCUACGGGAGGCAGCAGUGGGGAAUUUUCCGCAAUGGGCGAAAGCCUGACGGAGCAAGACCGCGUGAGGGAGGAAGGCUCUUGGGUUGUAAACCUCUUUUCUCAGGGAAGAAGCUCUGACCGUACCUGAGGAAUCAGCCUCGGCUAACUCCGUGCCAGCAGCCGCGGUAAUACGGAGGAGGCAAGCGUUAUCCGGAAUUAUUGGGCGUAAAGCGUCCGCAGGUGGCAAUUCAAGUCUGCUGUCAAAGCACGGGGCUUAACUCCGUUUAGGCAGUGGAAACUGAAUAGCUAGAGUGCCGUAGGGGUAGAGGGAAUUCCCGGUGUAGCGGUGAAAUGCGUAGAGAUCGGGAAGAACAUCGGUGGCGAAAGCGCUCUACUGGACGGCAACUGACACUCAGGGACGAAAGCUAGGGGAGCGAAUGGGAUUAGAUACCCC